CAUGGUAAGACCUAGCAAAUCGCCAUUAGUUAGCCUUGGAGUCGAAGUCGUGAGACAAGAUAAGCGUAGGUAAACAAGAAUACGAGCCGUAAUACGAAAGUGUGAAGCGAUUCAGCCUCGUUAAAUAUAAAUAGUGGUAGUCGAUGUGUUUCUUUCCACAGCAGACAACAAUGGCAGUAUCGUUAAGCGAGAUAUUGUGAGAGUGCCACCGGGGUCUA
rnacentral:ncRNA from 1 species